ACGCUCGACACCUACGGGAGGCAGCAGUGGGGAAUAUUGCACAAUGGGGGAAACCCUGAUGCAGCGACGCCGCGUGGAGGAAGAAGGUCUUCGGAUUGUAAACUCCUGUUGUUGGGGAAAAAGAGGAUGGUACCCAACAAGGAAGUGACGGCUAACUACGUGCCAGUAGCCGCGGUAAUCUGAGCGGGCGUGGCAAGGC
rnacentral:rRNA from 1 species